rnacentral:piRNA from 1 species
UGUUGGAUGAAUAAACNGCUAAGUGAGUGC